rnacentral:rRNA from 1 species
GAUGAACGCUAGCGGCAGGCUUAAUACAUGCAAGUCGAGGGACAGCACAGGUAGCAAUACUGGGUGGUAACCGGCAAACGGGUGCGGAACACGUACACAACCUUCCUUUAAGUGGGGGAUAGCCCAGAGAAAUUUGGAUUAAUACCCCGUAAUAUAGUUGAAUGGCAUCAUUUGAUUAUUAUAGCUACGGCGCUUAAUGAUGGGUGUGCGACUGAUUAGAUAGUUGGCGGGGUAACGGCCCACCAAGUCUACGAUCAGUAGCUGAUGUGAGAGAAGGAUAAGCCACACGGGCACGGAGACACGGGCCCGACUCCUACGGGAGGCAGCAGUAAGGAAUAUUGGUCAAUGGACGCAAGUCUGAACCAGCCAUGCCGCGUGAAGGAUUAAGGUCCUCUGGAUUGUAAACUUCUUUUAUUUGGGACGAAAAAGGGCCUUUCUAGGUCAACUGACGGUACCAGAUGAAUAAGCACCGGCUAACUCCGUGCCAGCAGCCGCCGUAAGAC